rnacentral:rRNA from 1 species
CCGAUGGCGACCGGCGCACGGGUGAGUAACACGUAUCCAACCUGCCUCAUACUCGGGGAUAGCCUUUCGAAAGAAAGAUUAAUAUCCGAUAGCAUAUAUUUCCCGCAUGGGUUUUAUAUUAAAGAAAUUCGGUAUGAGAUGGGGAUGCGUUCCAUUAGUUUGUUGGGGGGGUAACGGCCCACCAAGACUACGAUGGAUAGGGGUUCUGAGAGGAAGGUCCCCCACAUUGGAACUGAGACACGGUCCAA